AGGAGACAGAAGGUCAGGCAUUUAUGUACACUGGCCCUUUGCUCUGCAGCAAUCACACACCCUUAUUCCACCACCUAGAUACUUAAGAGCUGCAUAGGGGACACUGAGGCACCAACACAGUAUUCAGAGAAAACAUUAAGAACAUUCCCAGAUCGUCACAAGAUGUCACCGCCUCUGCGCUCCAGGACUCUGUUAAUGGUUCAUUUGCUCGGGGAUAAGAGGCUGGAGCAGCCGCAGAAGGAGAGAGAGGCAGGGACCUGGCAGCUCCACAGACACCCAGGAACUGCUCCUUCCCCUGGCACGGAGUCACCCCAGGUGUCCCUCGCAUUGUCCUGCUGGAAGCUGUGAAGGCCCAUCCCGGCCAGCGAUGCUGAUCCUGAGCUGUUCCUCCAAGCUGCGGCUGCUGGAGGGGAUGCUACGGCGGGGCCUGCCUGACACGCUGCCGGUGUCCCUCGCACUGUCCUGCUGGAAGCUGUGAAGGCCCAUCCCAGCCAGCGAUGCUGAUCCUGAGCUGUCCCUCCAAGCUGCGGCUGCUGGAGGGGAUGCUACGGCGGGGCCUGCCUGACACACUGCCGGUGACCAGAACUCACCCACCCCCACAGGGCCGAACCCUCCCACCCUCAGGCUGGGCAGAGAGCAGGGGAAAGUCCCUCGGAGUCCCCUGGGUGAUGGGGCACAGAUUGGGCUGGGGUGCAAUCCCCUGGGUCGGGGGUACAUGGAGGGCUGGCCCCUCCACCUGGUCAGGGGUAGCAGUUUGGGGGGCAGACCCUUUCUCCAGGUCGGGGGGCAGCAGUUCAGGGGCCGGGCAGGCUCUCAUAGAUCCACAGGGGAUGUGCCGUACCCCAGCCUGUCACCAGGGCCCUGGGAGCGACCCCUGGAGUGGGCCGGGGCCCGAGGCUGCACACAGCUCACAGGGGCAGGCCCGUGACCUCCACCACUGGGCCUUUGACACCAACCCUCCCAUCUCUCUCCGUGGCUCCCUGCAGCGAAUGCAGCUGAACCAGAUGCCCGCGAGAGGCUUGGACCGGGCCCCUGCGGUGGGUGUUGGCAGAGACCCCGGCAGCCUUUG